AGCGAACGCUGGCGGCAGGCCUAACACAUGCAAGUCGAGCGCCCCGCAAGGGGAGCGGCAGACGGGAGAGUAACACGUGGGAACGUACCCUUCAGUUCGGAACAACCCAGGGAAACUUGGGCUAAUACCGGAUACGUCCGUAAGGAGAAAGAUUUAUCGCUGAAGGAUCGGCCCGCGUCCGAUUAGCUAGUUGGUGAGGUAACGGCUCACCAAGGCGACGAUCGGUAGCUGGUCUGAGAGGAUGAUCAGCCUCACUGGGACUGAGACACGGCCCAGACUCCUACGGGAGGCAGCAGCGGGGAAUAUUGGACAAUGGGCGCAAGCCUGAUCCAGCCAUGCCGCGUGGAUGAUGAAGGCCCUAGGGUUGUAAAGUCCUUUCGGCGGGGAAGAUAAUGACGGUACCCGCAGAAGAAGCCCCGGCUAACUUCGUGCCAGCCGCCGCGGUAACAC
rnacentral:rRNA from 1 species